rnacentral:misc_RNA from 1 species
CCUGAUAGAAGCCCUCACGGGCCCUAUCCCACCCGUGUCUACAUACCUUUGUUGCUUUGGCGGGCCGUGGCUUCCACUGUGGGCUCUGCUCGCAAGUGCCCGCCAGAGGACCAAACUCUGAAAUUUAGUGAUGUCUGAGAACUAUUAAAUAGUAA